CUGACAGGACUGUAAACUGGGAGGGGAACGGGACCAACUGUUCACAACAGCGUACUUUAACUCUGAUUUAGUCGGACGGUUUUUAUUUCACACUUUAUUGCAGCAGGAAGAAGACUAAGUCUGUUUGUGUUGCAAUGGCCAUGAGACAUACCAUUGACCGCCAGCAUCCCAGCUACAAAGAGGGGAAAUGUAAAUUGCUUGAAAGUAAACAAGACCACCUUAUAGCUGAAGCUGAGAGAGCCGUUGAGGAGAGGAAACGUGCGCGUUCUGGUGGAGGACCUCCAUGUGGCUCCACUAGUGACGGUGCAAGACGAGGCAAGCCGAGGGGGAGGCGUGGAGGGCGACGCGGAGGGCGACGCAAAGCCUCAGCCACAGUCACGUUCCCCCCAGCUGAGUGCUCCCCGUCAUCCCAUGAGGACGUUCCGCUUACUGUACCUU
ensembl:lncRNA